UAUUCAUUCAAAGCGCCAUCGGGGGCAUGUGUCAUCCUAUGGAGACAGCUCUUGUUAUUUUUGGUGAUACCUGAAAGUGCUGGAUCCUUUCAUGAUCAUUUAAGUAGGAAGCUGAUAGAGGGCAGGACAGCGCCUACAGUAGGAUCUUAUUGAAACCCACUUUCCUGUAUUUUCUUAAUAACAAAAUAUUACCAGUUUGGACGUUUGGCAUUUGAACGAGUUACAUUGACAUUGUGGAUUUGAACAUUUAUCUUUGAAAGCGAGGAUUUAUGUUCUUUGGAUAUAGAUCUACUAAAAUUAAUACAGUUAGGACUGUGAGCGAAAUAUUUUGUAAUUUAUUUUGAUUGAAUUUAAAUUUGACCAGGACAGGAUUUAGACUAUUCUUGCAUAUUAAUUUAGACAAUACGGCUAGUUUACAUUGUUAAGCUCCCAUCAUUUAAUUUCGAUUCGAAAACUGCACUGGUCGGCAGUAUCCAAUACUUUCAUGCCUCUCGAUUAGUUAAUAUGGAACAGAUGUAUCCGAUGUUCGUCUUUGUGUUUAUGGUUUUAAUCCACAUAUUGCAAGGAAAUAACCAUGUCAAACGACCCAUACCAAUGAGGAGAACAGUGUUAAAAAGAUCUGCUGGGAAAAUGUCUUUGCUAGCACCAACUCGGAAAUCCGCAGUUUCCAUAAUAUACGCGUCAAAACUGCCUGUGGAAUAAAAUGCGUUGACAACUCAGAUUGCGUGGCUUUUGCAUUUUCUCUGAAGAAGGGUUUAUGCCGGUUGUAUUCGGCGAAACUUCUAAAUGAGGUUGACACAUGUUGGGAGAAAUAUUGGGACUACGGAGAAAUUAUUGAGUGAACAAUUCAGUAGAUGAUUUUUAAUUGCUUAAACAUUACUUAAUGUAUCAAAAAUGUUGUGAAUUUUGUUGAAAAUAACGCAAGCAAGUUCAUCGUCGAUUGUUCGGCAAACCUGCUCAUGUUCGGAUAAUAGACUGACAAAGACAAAAGAGGAAAACUAUUUAUGUAAAAUUAUAGUCACGAAAACUAUUUUCAAAAUAUUCAUAAUUUGCAAUUGGGAGUAUGUGUUAUGAAACUUAUCUACAGUGAAAUACCCGUGCAGUUGUUGUUGUUACACUUUUCAGAAAGCUGACAACUAGGUUAUAAAUAAUGGUUUGAAACAAGUACCAUGAAUAAUGUUUCAGAUGAAUGAGGGAUAAACUUUCAUUCCCAUUUCUGAAGUACAUGUAUGUCACAUAUGCCUAAAUACUGAAUUUGAAAAUUAGAACACCAACAUAGUGGGAAGCGUGCAUCGGCAAACCUUAUAGACUUUCUUGGCAAGAUAAUUGUAUGUACGGGAAAAAACGUGCUAGAGUUAUAUAAUGAAAUUUUACAACAUCUAUUUCU
rnacentral:lncRNA from 1 species